UAACACCUGCACCACGAGUGGUGAUCGCGUUUAUUGGGCCUAAAGCGUUCGUAGCCGGAUAAGUCAAUUUUAAGUGAAAUCGUUGCGCUUAACAAAACGACGUGCUUGAAAUAUUGCUUGUCUUGGGACCGGGAGGAGUCAAGGGUAUUUCUGAGGGAGCGGUAAAAUGCUAUAAUCUCAGGAGGACCACCUGUGGCGAAGGCGCUUGACUAGAACGGGUCCGACGGUGAGGAACGAAAGCUAGGGGAGCAAAACGGAUUAGAUACCCGAGUAGUCCUAGCUGUAAACGCUGUGAACUAUAUGUUGCGUAUUCUAUAUGGAUGCGCAGUGUCGGAGCGAAGGCAUUAAGUUCACCGCCUGGGAAGUACGGUCGCAAGGCUG
rnacentral:rRNA from 1 species